rnacentral:rRNA from 1 species
GACGAACGCUGGCGGCGUGCUUAACACAUGCAAGUCGAACGGAAAGGCCCCUUUGGGGGUACUCGAGUGGCGAACGGGGGCGUAACACGUAAGUAACCUGCCCUUGACUUCGGGAUAACUUCAGGAAACUGGGGCUAAUACCGGUUAGGAAUCCUUUCUGCAUGGGGGGGGUUGGAAAGCUUCGGCGGGUUUGGAUGUACUCGCGGCUUAUCGGCUUGUCGGUGGGGUAGUGGCUUACCGAAGCUUUGACGGGUAGCCGGACUGUGAGGGCGACCGGCCACACUGAGACCGAGGGAAGGCCGAGGCAGCGACGGGAGGGAGAAGGGGGGAAGAUUGAACGAGCGGCGGAGGGCGGAUGAAGAAACGCCGCGGGCGGUAUGACGGUCUUCGGGUUGUAAAACGCUUUUGGAAGGGGCGAAGCUUGUGGUGACGGUACCUGAAGAAGAAGCAACGGCUAACUACGUG